GUCCCAAAAAAACAAGGAGGAAUGGGGUUCCGAGAUUUACAUUGUUUCAAAUUGGCGUUACUAGCCAAGCAAGCGUGGCGUUUGCUUGAUAAUCCGGAAUCGUUAUGUGCCACAAUCAUGAGAGCUAAAUAUUUCCCGGAUGGCGAUUUAAUGAAUGCAAGUCUAAAGAAGGGUUCCUCUUUCACCUGGCAAAGCAUUAUGGCAGGGGUUAAUUCUCUAAGGAACGGUUAUAUCUGGCGAGUUGGAAACGGACAAAAAAUUGAUAUUUGUGAAGAUGCAUGGAUCCCGAAUUGUGCAAAUAGAAAAAUAAUUACUCCUAGAAGGGGGCAACUUUUGUCAAAGGUUUCUGAUCUUAUUGAUCCAAUUACGAGUUAUUGGGAUGAAGACUUGGUGAGACAAACGUUGUGGCCAAUUGACGCUCAAAGGGUACUUGCAAUCCCCCUUCCGAUACAUGAAAUGACGGAUUUCAUUGCUUGGAGUUUCACAAAAAAUGGUUUGUUCACUGUUCGAUCGGCUUAUUGGGAGGAAUGGAACAAACAGCAUGGAAGAAAAUUACAAUAUAUGUAUGGUAUGGGUAGAUCCAAUGCUAAUCCUAUUUGGAGCAAGAUCUGGAAGCUAUCUUGUCCGGCAAAGGUAAAAUUCAUCUGGCGUACAUUGCAUGGAACACUCCCAUGUCGUGUUACGCUCGCCAAUAGACAUGUGAAGGUCCCUCCCAUCUGCCCAACAUGUUCAAAAGGGCUAGAAGACACGAAACACGUCUUGUUUCUGUGUCAGAAGGCGAAAAAGGUCUGGGAUAAUUUGGGUUUGUAUGAGGUGAUA
rnacentral:rRNA from 1 species